AUAUGUGUGUGAUCAUAUGUACGAUGAUGACAACAAUGACAAUGACAUCAUGAAGAUAUAAAUGCGAGUGUCAAAGUUUAAAAGUGAAGAAAUAUAUUGAAAGUUUUAUUUAUUUAUUAAUAAGAAGAAAUAAUUAUAAAGAAAUGGCAACAUCAUCAGAUGAAGUUGCAAAUAUUAAUGGUAAUAUACAAGAAAUGAGAUUGGCAAGUGUUGAUGAUCCACUUGAUGAUGACGACGAUGAUGAUGAAGAUGAUGAAGAGGUUUUAAUGUCACCACAAAAUAUGCCAAGUAUACAAUCAAUGGGUAAUUCAUUGACAUUUCCAAGAGCAAGACGUGCAUUGACAUUUAGAAUGGAUGAUGAAUCAACAGCAUCAUCAUCAUCAUCAAUGAAUAUACAAAAUCGUAAUAAUGAAAUACCAUUAGCAAAUGUUGAUCAACCACCAAGUAAUUCAAUAAAUACACUUCAUCUUGAAGCACGUCCACAAAUUGAUAAUUCACAAAAUGAUAAUAAUCAACGUCCAGCACAACUUUAUAAUUGGCAAGGAACUAAAACAACAGUUAAAGAGAGAUUUUCAUAUUUAUUUAAUAAUGAAACAUUAUCAGAUGUUAGAUUUUUAGUUGGACGUGUUGAUCAACAACAAACAAUACCAGCUCAUAAAUUAGUAUUAUCAGCUGGUAGUGCUGUAUUUGAUGCAAUGUUUAAUGGUACAUUGGCAACAUCAUCAGCUGAAAUUGAAGUACCAGAUGUUGAAUCAUCAGCAUUUUUAGCUGUAUUAUUAUUUUUAUAUACUGAUGAAAUACAAAUUGAUCCAGAAACAGUUAUGACAACACUUUAUACUGCUAAAAAAUAUGCAGUAUCACCAUUAGAAAAACAUUGUGUUGAUUUUUUGAGAGCAAAUUUAACAAGUGAUAAUGCAUUUUUAUUAUUAACACAAGCAAGAUUAUUUGAUGAGCCACAACUUGCAUCUGUAUGUCUUGAUACUAUUGAUAAAUUUACAACAGAUGCAUUAAAUGCUGAUGGUUUUACUGAUAUUGAUAUUGAUACAUUGAUGGUAGUUUUAGAAAGAGAUACACUUCGUGUUAGAGAAUCAAAAAUAUUUCAAGCUGUUUUAAGAUGGUCUGAAAGUGAAUGUAGAAAACAACAGCUACCAGUAACACCAGAAAAUCAACGUUCAGUUUUAGGACGUGCAUUGUCACUUGUUAGAUUUCCAUUAAUGUCUGUUGAAGAAUUUGCAAUGGGUCCAGCACAAUGUGGUCUUUUAACUGACAGAGAAGUUGUGUCAUUAUUUUUAUAUUUUACUGUUAAUCCAAAACCACAAGUUGGAUUUGAAGCAAUGCCAAGAUGUCGUAUGAUGGGAAAAGAAUUGACUGUAUGUAGAUUUAAACAGACUGAUCAUAGAUGGGGAUAUAGUGGUACAAGUGAUAAAAUAAGAUUUAGUGUUGACAAGAGAAUUUUUAUUGUUGGUUAUGGAGUUUAUGGAAGUGUUAAUUAUCCAGCUGAAUAUGAAGUUACAAUUGAAUUAACACAUACAGCAUCAUCAAAAAUAAUUGCAUCACAUUUAACAAGUUUUAGUUGUGAUGGUUCAAAUUAUACGUAUCGUUUGAUGUUUAAAGAACCAAUUGAAAUUAUUGCAAAUACAAUUUACACAGCAUCAGCAACAUUCAAGGGUCCAGAUUCGUAUUAUGGUACCAAAGGAAAACGUUGUGUUACCAUUGAUUGGGGUCCAACCAAUAGUGAUAGUAAAGUUAAAUUUCAAUUUAGCUUUGCAGCUGGUGAUAAUAAUGGUACUUCUGUUGAGGAUGGACAAAUUCCUGAAUUAAUUUUUUACACUUGAAUCAUCAGUUAAUUUCGAAAUUUUAAAAAAAGAUAUAUAUGGAAAUUCAAUUCAAGCAUUUAGUGAUAACAGUGGGGAAAAAGUGUGGUGAUAAGAACAACAAGUGUGGAGCUAAAAGGCUUGUCUUGAAUGGUUAUUGGUUGAGAUACAAAUCAUGUUGGUGAACGUUCAUUGGAUGCAUCAAGCAAGCUAAACAUUUGCUGCUCCUGUAAAAGUCAUAAACGCCCACAACACCACCAAGUAUGAUGCUGAUGAUAAAAAGAUUUAUGUCAUAAGUUGUUCUGAAACACUUGUUGACUUUGUCACCACUCGACGAUGAAUCAAGGGUUUCGUAAACGACUGAAGGAGACGUGUUCGUACGGAGCAAGGUGCACCUGGCGAUCCUUGGUGUGUAAAACUUUAAUCCCCACCACGUAUUGACCAUCAGGCCAAUCGCCAAUCCACGCGAACCUAUCUCAGGUAGCUCAGGUGAUGCCUCUUCUUCUUCUUCUUCUUCUUCUUCCAUGUGGAGUAUUUAUACUAUUUAUUUAUUUGUUUUUUUUUCAACUCAUACUUGCAUACAUACUUGUGUAAGAUUUUUAAAUUGCAUAGAUGUUUGUGAAUUAUUUUUUUUUGUUUUUUUAAAUUUAUCUAUGUGUUAAUGUAUAUAGGUGUAUACUGAUCUGUACAAACGGAUGAACGUUUACAGCUUGAAAAUCCGGUAAGAUAAAUGCUGGAUAUCUUGGCGUCAAUACUUUUUUUUUUUUUUUUUUAUACGUUUCUUAUGCUUCUUUUGAUGAUCGCGUGUCUUGAUAUUCGUGACUCGGCUUUGAGUGUUAAUUUGGCAGACGAUUGUCGGUACAAACACCGGCUGUAUACUUUGGGGUAAACACGCCUCUUUUUGCACCCAAUGUUUUGGAUCAACUGGGUGAGAUCAAUAACACUCUAUUAUUUUUUAUUAUUUUAUAUAUCCAACGUAGGAGAUAUUCAAUAAUAAUUUUUAUUAUUUAAAAAAAAAAUAUAUAUUUUAAUAUUCAUUGAUGAUAAAUGAAUCAAUAUGCCAAGUAUAUUAAUUUUUUUAAAUCAAUAUGCAUAUCGAUUUGGUGUUGCAAUUUUAUAUAACUGAUGCAUCAUCCAUGGAUGAUUUUUUUUUUGGAGGAUUUGUUUUUUUUUUCUGUUCUGUAUGUUCUUGUUAAUAUAUGAUGUAUUAUGUCCUUUUAUUUUUACAGGCGAGACAUGCAAUGAAAAAAAUGGGGAGCAAUGAAAGUGAGCACGCGACGUUCGGCGCCGACGAAUUUAUUAAUUAUCACCGAUACGCAUUUGUCGGAUGGAUCUGAUGGUCUUUAUUCAACUGAGAAUAAACAUGAUGAUGUAAGUAUAUUAAAAAGAAAAAAAAAAACCUUAAACAGUUGAGAGAAUAAAUUUAAAAGAAAAAAAAAAAAAAAUGAAAUGUAACGUAGUUGUCCUGAGGGAUAACGUAAAAGAGGCGGCUUUGCGUGCAAUAAUGCAAAUUAAAGCUGGCUGUUGGUGGCCGAGACGAAGAGGAUCAGUCUCGGGGCCACUCAAUUUUAUAUUUAUCAUGAACCACGAAAGACUUAAUCUUCAGUUGAACGAUCAAGUCAUCGUAAACAAUUAAAUUUAUAUAUUUUUUUU
rnacentral:misc_RNA from 1 species